AUGUCAACCAGAGCCCUCCAUUUCGCACAAAACAACAACAUCAUUGAAGAUCCACCAUCGAAACUUCCACGAUCCGACCGUCUCCCCUUCAAAUCCAGAGACAACCGCAACCGCCUCUGUGCAAUCAUCAUGAUUUCGCUCAGAUUCGCAAAGUCAUUCUCCGUUAGCAUCCUCUGGUUUGUUUUCCAUUAUGCUUUUUAUUAA